GCUUUUUACAAACAAAAGAUAAUUCCGACAUUUCAUCUCUUGCAGCCACAGACAUCGUCGGCGGCGAAUUCACCGUCACAGACUGUCAACCGAUUCAACCCUCGUAAAAUUACAUUAACGGAACACAGAAUACCCUAAUUCAACAAAGCUAAUAGCGUCAAUGCUUUUUUAUUGUAAAUCGGAUAGAGAUGCUGUAGGAAGAAACAACACAGCAAGGACCGAAUGUUCAUAACCAGAACAGAGUGGGUCAGUGAAUGGGGCGGCACCAAGCGCAAAGAAAUCCGUACUCCCUUCAAACGCCUCCGCUUCCAUUUCUGCGCUGCAGGCUUUCGCUUACGCCAUUUGAGGAUCCUGUGUGUACAGCCGAUGGCACCGUAUUCGACAUGAUUGAUCUGCUUGAAUAUUCUACUGACCCCUGCAGCAGCCCCAAGUUCCGGAUUUUGUGAACUUUUAAGAAAGGUUGAUGAUAUCCGUGUCAAGGCAGAAGUUCUGAUUUUCUUGGUCAUUAUUAGCACAUUACUGUGAGUUGUAAAAGCGUCAGAAACUACAAUAGGCAAUUGUGUGUCUUAAUACAAAGGCCGAGGACUGGGCUUAUUGCUGAAAAACCUUCAGUUUCAACCAGAAGGUUUACGAUGGGUGCUGCAUCACGGUCCUUCACAUUAAUCUCAUAUGAUCCUGUCACCAAAAAUGAGUUUAAGUAUGUCAAAGUUGAGAAAAAUCCCCAAAAGAUAGGCUAUGGUCAACUUCAUACAACACAUGGUGAUUUAAAUAUUGAGCUCCACUGUGACAUAAUUCCGAGAACAUGUGAGAAUUUCAUUACACUCUGCGAGCGGGGCUGUUAUAAAGGAGUUUGUUUCUUUGCAACAGUUCAUAUUAGUAAAAUUUUAUUGUGUACCACUGUUUGAAUUUUCUUAUUUAGGGUGGCGAUCCUACUGGUACUGGAAGAGGAGGUGAAUCUAUAUUGGGAAAGCCCUUCAAAGAUGAAGUGAACUCCAAGUUGUUUCACUCUGGAAGGGGUGUUGUUAGUAUGGCAAACAGUGGCCCACACGCAAAUGAUUCCCAGUUUUUCAUUUUGUAUAAAUCUGCAAGUCAUUUAAUUUUCAAACAUACAGUUUUUGUAGGAGUUGUUGGUGGUUUGACUACAUUGGCAGCAAUGGAGAAGGGGUUCCUGUUGAUGACAAUGACCAACCUCAGGAGAUUAAGAUAACCGGCGUAACGGUGUUUGUCAAUCCUUACUCGGAACUGGAUGAAGAAGAGGAAGAGAAGGCCAAAGAAGAGGAAAAUGCUGAGGAUGAAGAUAAAGUUUGUUUCAGGAUUCUUUUGAAUAUCAUUUGCUAUUAUGUAUUUCCAAUAUACUAGCUGAUCUUUUUCCUGGUGUGUAUCAGGAUAAGGUUGGCUCAUGGUAUGUUAGGAACCUGGCAAGUUGGCAGGUUUCCUUUACAAACUUUGAAUCCAAUCCUAUGAACUCUUCCCACA